UACGGGGGGGGCAAGCGUUGUUCGGAAUCACUGGGCGUAAAGCGCACGUAGGCGGAUGUGUCAGUCAGGGGUGAAAUCCCGGAGCUCAACUUCGGAACUGCCUCUGAUACAGCACGUCUUGAGUUCGAGAGAGGUGGGUGGAAUUCCUAGUGUAGAGGUGAAAUUCGUAGAUAUUAGGAAGAACACCGGUGGCGAAGGCGGCCCACUGGCUCGAUACUGACGCUGAGGUGCGAAAGCGUGGGGAGCAAACAGG
rnacentral:rRNA from 1 species